GGGGUAGAGACGGGUGCACUGUGCGGAGGGAAAUUUUUUUUCCCCCAGCGGCCGGAUCCUGCAGAGGGGCGAGGCGCUCUAUUUUGUUUUGUGGAAAUCGGCAAUUAUUUCUGGUUGGAUCAAUGGGCAUAAUUUCUAAGUGGUCGGGUGGGUCUGCGUAAGCUUCUACGUGCAUUUGGAAACCCAUUGAGUUUUGAGUUACGAAACCGUGCAGACUUUCUCCCACCCCGGCGGCUCCCGGCAAUAAGCUAGGCCUGCCCUACCCCGAGCAAGCGAGCUCCAGGGAUCCCCAGAAGCAUGACCCGGUUUUGGUCGCGGUCCGCAGAGGAUUGGAGCAGCAGUGACACGGGCGGCCCAGCAGCUGCAGAGCCAAGGUCAGGCCCCAAGGGACAGCGGGCAGUAGCCUGCAGCGAGGACGCCGGACACCAGCGAGCAUCCCUGCUCUCCUCCCCAAGAGUCCAGGCUGCCCGGUCUGCUGCUCCAGCUUUGCUUUCGAUUCCCAGGCGAAUGAUUCUGACCCCAAACCCACGUUUUUGGGGUUUUUUUUUCCAAGAAUGCUAUCCAGAAUUCCUGUCCCCCUAUUCGAGUAGGGUGGCCUGUAGGGCCGAGGUGGACGGGGAAACUCAGACCGAGGGUAUACUGCGAGUGGGCAAGUUCCUUUCACUUUCCCCCUUUGCUCCGCAAUUUCGGGUGCAACUACCUGGACCAAGCCUCAAGGGUUCCACCACAGAACCUUUCAAGGGUUCAUAGACUGACCCUGUGCUCUGGAGAAAGCAACCGCCACGGGAAAACACUUCAACCUCAAAAUGGAUCUCAACGUCUCUUUUACCCUCAUCCUCCGUGCAGAGAUUCUCGAGAGGGCGGCAACACACCUCGCACCCUCCCUUCUUUCCAAGAGUUGUGCUUCCUCAGACCCGCUCCCGCUGGCUUUUCUCCCCUGCAUACUUCCCCUUUGCAAAAUUUCCGCCUUGAUCUUAAAUACCUUGAAAAGAUAGGAAGACUUGGAAUUCGAUUAAAACAAAACAAAACAGAA